rnacentral:misc_RNA from 1 species
UGCUCUGCUGUUUGUUGUCUUGGGAGCGUCGGUGCUUCAUCACACGCUGAGCUGCGUGUGUGCGCGUGUGUGUCGCCGCAGCGUGCGGCGGUCAAGGUGAUGGCGUGGUAGAGAAUGCACCCUUUUAAGGCGUGCCGACCCACUUUCUUCCCCCCUCUUGUCUCGAUUCUCAUCAUUCUCUUUCUCUCUCUCGCUGCCCUUCGUGUGCGUUUUCGCUGCGCUCCGGCGUGUGCUUGACGUUGUCUUCCUAAAGGCAUGCCUACUUGUGCUAGAAUGUGAAGGAUGGCGCGACUUGUUCGAGCGAAGACGCUGCUGUUGCUUUUUCACCGACAACCUCCACCCACCCCUCUCCCUACCACCACCACCACCUCCUCCUUCUCCUCCUCGACGUUUGAACUCCGAGAAGUGCCGCGCCAUUCCUCGUUCUCAUCAAAGAGCUGUUUCCUCAAAAGACCUAUUCACUGAUCCGUUCUAAUUUUCCCUUUUCUCUCGUUGUUGUCUGAUUCGCUCUUUCUCUUUUUGCUUCUCUAUGCCUUUGUCUCUCCACUCCUUUCCUUUCCUCCAUGCUGCUUCCCUGCUCGUUCUUCCCUCCGUAAGGGAGAGGAGAGUUCUGGAAAUCGCUGCCUGCACGUCAGAUGGGCGCCCCUGUACUUCCGUUCUCAGCGCUUGUCGUUUCUUCCCUUGACCAGCGCUGUGUGUGUGUGGGGGGGGGGGUGGAGGGGGCGAAACAGACAUGCGGUGUACACUCGUUGACCUCCGAAGACGGGAAGAGCACACGCACAUGCAAAUGCGAAGGUAACCACCCACAUUCCGUGGCCUACACACCCACCGAGCCAAGGUUUUUUUUUCUCUGUUCUUCGCUAGUUUAACCAAAGCCGUGCGGCGGGGUCACCCCUACACACAGAGAGGCACGCUCUCACACGGGUGUUGCACAACAUCAAUGGAAAGAUUACACUGAAGAAAGAUGAAAGCAGCGCCUGCAAUUUGUGCAGACUCAGACGUCUUCCCCCUCCCCCUGCGCGCUCUCUCUGUUGUGUGUUUCUUCCGAAGUAUUUUUCUUCUCUCCUGCUUGCCCUUCUUUUGUUGAAUGGAAGACGCGCUCGCCGUGGUAUCCGUAGGUCUCGUACGCCUUUUGGUGGGUGCUUCCCUGACGGAGGUGGAUGCCGCGGCGUGGCGUGAGGCGCGCGUUUGUGUCUCUUUCUCUCCCGAGAAAUGAAAGAGAAGGCCUUUGCUCGCACAGACGCCGGACUUUACCGGCAGACGCGGCGAGAGGAGGGAGAAGAGCAGACACGGACAGGGACGGUAAACGGGAGACUCUCACGCAAGAAUGAGCACUCUGCGCUUCUCUUACAUCACCCGCAACAACACCAAAGUGCGGCAGUGUAAAAGCGCGCAAAACCCAAUGCGGAAAGUAAAUGCGAGCGCUGUCCGACCUCUCCCCCUUUUUGUUUCGACACUAGUGCUAUCACCGUACAUGUUUCCCUAGUUCAUUACUAUUUCCCCUUUUCAGACAGCCGCUGCACCCCCGUUCACGUUCCGCUUUUGCUUUUUUUUUCGUUUUAUUUUUAGUUUCUCUCUGACUGGUGAGCAGUUCCACUUCGGUUUCCAUGCCUUGACUCUUCUCUGUUUCUCUCUCUUGUUUCACCACUGUGGAUGCCCCUCUUUUUCUCUCUCGCGCUCCUUUUUCUUGUCCUUUCCUCGCCGAUGAUGCUUUCACCUGCUGACGAAUGUGAGCCACACGCAGCGAGACGACCCCUUUCCCACCGAAUAAAAAAAAACGCACAACACACACACACACACACGCACGCACUCUCCUCCAUACACACGCAGACACGGACUGACGGGUCAGUCGAAAGAUUACUUUUCUAUUUAUUGUUUUUUUUCUCGCCGACCGAUUUCCCUCCUUUUCGCUUACAGAAUCAUCGCUGCCCCCUCUUAAAGUCUUCUCAUCGCUGUCUGUCUCCAUGAUGCAUUUUUUUUCAUUCGUCUUUCUUUGGUUCGGUUUUUCUUUCCCUGUUUCUUCUUUUACCAUGCCGUUGUGUGAUGGGUUGCUCGACACGGCGCACGCGCACACGAGCACCCCCGCUCCACAGAAAAAUCAGCAUCCACUCCCAUGCCAAAGAAGAGGCGACGAGGCCACGCACGCACACACACAACGAGGAAAGGAGGCAACAGAGGUUCAGAGGAUAGUGAGCUCAGAAAAAGAACACGCGGAUGACAGGGACGGAGAAAGAACACGCUCAGAAUGCAGCAAGGAAAAGGCGUAAGAGACAAAACGGUUAUCGUAGCGCAUAUAUGAGGCAAAACAGGAGUGAGAGGCACUCACUGCACGACAAAGCAGAGGUAAAAACUAACGUGGCAAGCACACAGAAUUAUACACACGCUCGCAGAAAACACUCACACAACUCUCGGCGCGGGACGAGUCGCUGGCACGGCUGGGGAAAGCGAGACGGGGCCACACUCCUCUCUCACGCAGAAGCGUAGUGCUUCAGUGUGGGACAUGCCACCAGCACAGCUUCGAGUAGCACCGUCCCUCCUUCUUUCCGUCUUCCCUCCACCUGUCCCCCUUCGUGCACCUCCCCUUCCUCUUGCUUACUCG